AUUUAUGUAAUAUAAUAUGUAUUUUCAAUUUAUUUUUAUUAAAUCUUUUUAUGAAUAACUAAAUAAAUUUUAUUUAUUUAGUUUUAUAAUUCAGUUCAAGAAAUUUUUAUUGGAAAGUUGAGAUUAUGGAGCAGCGUGACAAAUAAUACUACAAAAAUACACAUAAAGUUUAAAAACAUUUAUGAUUAACGUACACACUGCAAACAGUAUAGUAUCUCAAUGAAGAGGAUUUUCUACUGUGUCGCGCUGUUUUUUUUUAGAAAAUUUUUGGGAUUUUUUUUAAAAAAACUGGAUAAAUAUUUUAAAAUCAAUUUUUAUCCUUUAUUUAUGAUUUUAAGAUUGGUUUCCUAUUUUCUGUAUAAAAAAAAUAUGAAUAAUAAUUCAUCAUAGAUUCAUUUGAUCUCUGCAUCACGUACACGGUUCUUCGUUGACUAUGAUUCUAGAUCUCCCAGUGAACGAAAAAACGUAAAAUGUUAUUUUAAUCAAACCACUUUGAGCUACCGUCGAAACCAGAAUUUUUCAUUUUGCUCAAUAAAUAAAUAGCAAAAAUAACAAAAUUGUAGCUCUCGUUAAAUUGCAAAGCAAUGUAAAGAAGAGAAAACGGCCAAAAUACGAGCAAUAUUAUAUGGUGUAAUUUUGUAACAAAUAGAAAUUUAUUCUCAGUGCUGGUUUAUAAUUCUUAAUGUACGUUUCGAUGAUUCUUAAUCUUUAGUAGCUUGUAUCAAUGUCAAUUUUAUUGGCAAUGUCAAUGUCAUUUUUUUCUUUCACGUUUUUAACACUCAGAGAUUAUGAUAAACUUUAAUCACAUAAAUGUUCCGAAGCUAUUUGUUAUCUUACUUCCGUAAAUUUAUAAUUUCUUUUUUUUUCAAAACUUUUAUUCCGUCUAACUAUUAACUUAUUCGGUUUCAAUCAUGGAUCGAUUUGCUUGGUUUUCACUUUUUGAUGUAUAUUUUCAUACGAGUUUCCCUUCGGGCUUAAUGGAAUUCUCGCCUCUGACCGCUGAAUUACUAAUUAUCAAUAUAUCUCUACACAAACAGACUUCGGGCAAAUUGAGUAUGACACAAUGAUCACUAUUUUUAACUUUGUCGUCUUGAUAUGGACUCUCGUUAAUCCAAGAUUUGCCAUGCUCGAGCUUUUUUACUUUUGUUAUUUAAAACGCGUUACAAAAUGGAAUUUGAGUUUAUAAGCUGAGGAAAACUAAUUGUAAGUACAGUUGAAACGUACGUUAAUUAUUAUAAAAUUGCGCUAAAAAUAAAUUUCAAUUUGUUGCAAAAUUAUAUUAUCUGUUACUGUUAUCAUUUUGGCCGUUGUCUUUUUUUUAAAUUAAAGCGGCAUUCGUUAAAGAACAAAGUUCUUUUUUUGCGCUACUUUCUAUGCUUUCGCAUCCUAAAAAAAUAUAAAAAGUUUAGUUAUCACGAUAAUUUUGGUUUAGAUAAGCGAGACGAUAACUGGGGCAAGUGUUCUGAUUAUGCCGUUUGAGUUUUUAACUUCAGUUCACUGGGAGAUCUAGAACAGUCAUCGAUGAAUCGUUCAGAGGUUAAAUAGAUCUAUCGUUAAUGAAUUAUUCAAACCUUUUUUAUUCAAAGUAAGAUCAAGCUUUGAACAAUAAAGGACAACGAUAAAAAAACACGAGCGCAUUCAGAACCCGUAGCAGCAUGGAUCUCGUAAACCUGGCCUUCCAUUCUCUCGAACUGGGAGACGUGAAACCAUCGAGGGAGAACUUCCUGCAGGUCGAGCGUGACGAUGUUACGGAGAGGAAC